CUGCGGGAUGCAGCAGGCGAGAAAACUUUGCAAUGUGCGAAAGCACGACAAGGUUAAUCCGAGUGGUUUCUGCUAAAGGAACCUUUUGACAGUCCUAGAAACACUGUUGAAUAAGGGGUGGGCAAGUUCUGGUGUCAGCCGCCGCGGUAAAACCAGCACCUCAAGUGGUCAGGAUGAUUAUUGGGCCUAAAGCAUCCGUAGCCGGCUCUGUAAGUUUUCGGUUAAAUCUGUACGCUCAACGUACAGGCUGCCGGGAAUACUGCAGAGCUAGGGAGUGGGAGAGGUAGACGGUACUCGGUAGGAAGGGGUAAAAUCCUUUGAUCUAUUGAUGACCACCUGUGGCGAAGGCGGUCUACCAGAACACGUCCGACGGUGAGGGGUGAAAGCUGGGGGAGCAAACCGGAUUAGAUACCCUCGUAGUC
rnacentral:rRNA from 1 species